AGUAUAUUCAAGAGACGAAUGAAGAUUUCUGUGUGUUUUGUCGCCUGCAUGUUGAUUAUGUCAGUUGGAGUCACCAUGGCAAAGGACGAUAUGCUGGAAGACAAUGGACUUAUUCAUAAUCGUAUAAAAAGAUAUUCAUGUUGGCCUAGAAAAUGUUAUACGAGGCUUGACUGCUGUUCUAGCCAUUUGUGUAUUUCUGGAAGGUGCACAGGAAGAAAGGGUUAGUUCAUCUUUUUAAAGGA